rnacentral:rRNA from 1 species
CCUAUCCACCGAAUGAGUAAGGUUUCCCCCGGAAGGCUCGUCCGCGGGGGGUUAGUCGGGACCUAAGGCGAGGCUGAAAAGCGUAGUCGAUGGACAACAGGUUGAUAUUCCUGUACCGAUAUUUAAUUGCCGAAGGAAGGACGCAGAAGGAUAACACAGGCCACUAUUGGAUGUGGUUUUAAACAGUUAGUCUUCAUAAGAGUCAAAUGCUUUUAUGUUUAAGGAUAAGCUGUGAAUGUACCAAGUUUACUUGGAAAUUGUGUGAUUUCACGCUGCUGAAAAAAGUUUCGUAGGAAGAAAAUAUUGCCCGUACCGCAAACCGACACAGGUACUCGAGUGGAGAACACUAAGGUGAGCGAGUGAACUAUUGUUAAGGAACUCUGCAAAAUGAGUCCGUAACUUCGGAAGAAGGACUGCUGGUUUUAUACCAGCCGCAGCAAAUAGGCCCAAACAACUGUUUAUCAAAAACACAGGUUUCUGCAAAAUCGUAAGAUGAAGUAUAGGGGCUGACGCCUGCCCAGUGCUGGAAGGUUAAAAGGAGGACUUAGCUUCGGCGAAGGUCUUAAUUGAAGCCCCAGUGAACGGCGGCCGUAACUAUAACGGUCCUAAGGUAGCGAAAUUCCUUGUCGGGUAAGUUCCGACCCGCAUGAAAGGCGUAAUGAUUUGGGCGCUGUCUCAACAAUAGACUCGGUGAAAUUUAAAUUCCAGUGAAGAUGCUGGGUACCCGCGACAGGACGGAAAGACCCCGUGGAGCUUUACUGUAGCUUGAUAUUGAAUGUUUGUGCUGCAUGUGCAGGAUAGGUAGGAGACUUUGAAGUCGGAACGCUAGUUUCGAUUGAGUCACCCUUGAGAUACUACCUCUGUUGUAUGAACGUUCUAACUCUGAUCAGUUAUCCUGAUCGAAGACAGUGUCUGGCAGGCAGUUUGACUGGGGCGGUCGCCUCCUAAAAGAUAACGGAGGCGCUCAAAGGUUUGCUCAGAAUGGUUGGAAAUCAUUCGUAGCGUGUAAAGGCAUAAGCAAGCUUGACUGUGAGACUGACAAGUCGAGCAGGUACGAAAGUAGGACUUAGUGAUCCGGUGGUUCCGUAUGGAAGGGCCAUCGCUCAACGGACAAAAGCUACCCCGGGGAUAACAGGCUCAUCUCCCCCAAGAGUCCACAUCGACGGGGAGGUUUGGCACCUCGAUGUC